rnacentral:rRNA from 1 species
UACGUAGGGCGCAAGCGUUAUCCGGAAUUAUUGGGCGUAAAGAGCUCGUAGGCGGUUUGUCGCGUCUGCCGUGAAAGUCCGGGGCUCAACUCCGGAUCUGCGGUGGGUACGGGCAGACUAGAGUGAUGUAGGGGAGACUGGAAUUCCUGGUGUAGCGGUGAAAUGCGCAGAUAUCAGGAGGAACACCGAGGGCGAAGGCAGGUCUCUGGGCCACUACUGACGCUGAGAAGCGAAAGCAUGGGGAGCGAACAGG